GGCAUGAAUUUUUAAUUAUGUAUUCUGAAUUAUUUCCAAUUAGGGCUAUAUUUCAGGACAGAUGACCUUCCAAUAUUUCCUAUGUAUCUGGAAUACAAACUGCUCAGGCUGGAGGAUGUGGCACAUCUUUGAGGCACUCUUGUUACAGAAAUGAUGCUGUGCAAGUGUUCGAGAUACCAUGGUGGAGCUUUGGCUUGUGCAUUACUCGGGAGGACUUCAGCACAUGAUCCCGUAGCUGAUCUGGAAAGAUGGCGGAAGCUUGACCCUGAGGCAGAGGCUGGCCCAAAGCUGUAGAUCUUGAGAUCAAACUCCAUAGCAGAUGACCAUCUUGAGCAGGCAAUAAAUGUUUCAUGCGUUUUUUUUUGAAAGACA
rnacentral:lncRNA from 1 species